AUUGAACGCUAGCGGGAUGCUUAACACAUGCAAGUCGAACGAGUGGCGGACGGGUGAGUAAUAUCUCGGAACGUGCCCAGUAGCGGGGGAUAACUACUCGACAGAGUAGCUAAUACCGCAUACUAUCGGAGCGGCCGAUAUUGGAUUCGCUAGUUGGUGGGGUAACGGCUCACCAAGGCAACGAUCCGUAGCUGGUUUGAGAGGACGACCCGCCACACGGGGACUGAGACACGGCCCAGACUCCUACGGGAGGCAGCAGUGGGGAAUAUUGGACAAUGGGGGAAAGCCUGAUCCAGCCAUCCCGCGUGUAUGAGAAGGCCUUCGGGUUGUAAAGUACUUUUGGCAGAGAGGCGUUAUCUGCAGAAUAAGCACCGGCUAACUCCGUGCCAGCAGCCGCGGUAAUAC
rnacentral:rRNA from 1 species